UCUCUAAGCAAUGGAUGUCUUGGCUCCUCACACGAUGAAGAACGUGGCAUAAUGUGUUAAGUAACCGGAGUUGCAAACAUCAUGACAGGUUAAUCUUUGAAUGCAAAUUGCGCUAAACUCGAUCUCGCGCAGAAGCAUGGGUGUGACAGUAC
rnacentral:rRNA from 1 species